CUGCAAUAGCAACAACAUAAAUUACCUACAGCAAUUCACCUAGUGAGUGUUGAUACUUUCAAUCUGAGUGA
rnacentral:snoRNA from 1 species